AUUCCCGCUCCUACCGAGAUGCCGGGAAAGCACUCCCGCGCCGAUGCGAGGUGAUACUCUCUGGAAUCAUAGGAUUAACAACUUGGAAAAGGCCUAUGAUACUCCUGGUAAACCUCUUUGUGCUGCUCUCUGUGGUUUGUGUCCUCUUAAAUCUAGCUGGAUUUAUCCUAGGCUGCCAAGGGGCCCAGUUUGUGUCCAGCGUGCCCAGGUGUGAUCUGGUGGACUUAGGUGAAGGCAAGAUUUGCUUCUGUUGUGAAGAAUUUCAACCAGCCAAGUGCACAGACAAAGAAAAUGCCUUGAAACUCUUUCCGGUUCAGCCCUGUAGUGCUGUUCACCUUCUACUUAAGAAAGUCCUCUUUGCCCUGUGUGCCUUGAAUGCCCUGACCACCACCGUCUGCUUGGUGGCCGCUGCCCUCCGCUACCUCCAGAUAUUCGCAACCAGGAGAUCCUGCAUCGAUGAAUCCCAGAUUUCUGCUGAAGAAGCGGAGGAUCAUGGACGCAUCCCCGACCCUGAUGAUUUUGUGCCGCCUGUGCCUCCCCCUUCCUAUUUUGCCACGUUUUACUCGUGCACACCCCGGAUGAACCGCAGGAUGGUUGGUCCUGAUGUUAUUCCCCUGCCACACAUCUACGGAGCUCGAAUCAAAGGUGUGGAAGUGUUCUGUCCUCUGGAUCCCCCGCCGCCAUAUGAAGCUGUGGUGAGCCAGAUGGACCAGGAGCAGGGAUCUUCAUUCCAAAUGUCAGAAGGAUCAGAAGCUGCUGUGAUCCCAUUGGAUCUGGGCUGCACACAAGUGACUCAAGAUGGGGACAUUCCUAACAUACCUGCCGAAGAAAAUGCAUCCACCUCAACUCCCAGUUCAACCCUGGUGCGUCCUAUCAGAAGCCGGAGAGCCCUCCCACCCUUGAGGACCAGGUCGAAGAGUGACCCUGUGCUCCAUCCUUCUGAGGAGAGAGGUGAUGUCAUUCCCCAAGCUCUUCGCAGGGCUGUGUGCUUAUUUGCCUAAAGGAGCCAGGUGAAGGCAGGUGGCUCUGGCCAGCUCAGGACCCUGCAGUUUAAGUGGUCAUUUGAAGGAGCUUAUGAGGUCUUGGGAAAGUAAAAUAUUCUACGUCCAUGUUAGGAAUAUAUAUCUACCAUGUCUUUUAAGGAUGGUAGGGUUUUUUUGUUUUUUUUUAAAGUCAUUGUCAUCAAAAGAAUUUGGUUGUACAUGAUACUAUGCUAGGUACUACAUGAAGACAAUUAUGCACACCUAGUUCUGAUUUCUAGAUGCUGCAAUCCUAUAGGAAUAUGCAUUGUCUUAAAAAAAGUCAAAAGGAUUUUUGUAUACUCCCUCUUUUAUAAUUUGUUAUAUUUUUACUAUGUAUGAGUAGAUGAUUGAAUUAUUGAAAUCUGACCUUGUUUUUAGAACUUUGGAUAGAAUGAAGUACACGCACCCACACAAUUCACCUCUCUCUCUGUGUUGUUUGUGUAUAGAUGUUACCUGAAUAAUUAAAAAUUAAAAUAAUAACACUGACUUUUUUCUGAAUAUAUGAAUACCUGAACAUCUCUAAAUAUCUCUUCAUUGUAGAAAAUUAUAAAAAAUAAAGAAACUAAAGGAAGAAAAUUAAAAUCUCCUGUAACUCCACCAGCACCAGCUUCUUCUUGUGAAGUAGUCUAGCAGAGUUGACCUCUGCUGUUCUAAAACACCUAUGCAAAUAAAACUUUGAUAAUCCUCCACCCUGCUCUCUCUAAGGUCCUGUCUUGAGCCCUUGCAGUCUCAGUUCUGGCUCUCUGACAGUGUGUGUUAUUUGCCACAGCUCUGGACUGACCAUGUGCGAGCCAGAGAGAACAUUCCUCUUGUCUCUACAGCAGCUUCUAAGUGGAGAGGAAGUCCUGCCGCCUGGUACUGAGCGUGUCUCUGAAACACAGUGGCCAGGCAGCCUGGCUUCUGAUUCCCAAGACCUGCCUUCACUGUGGGUCUCCUACACCCUACCUGGCAAGUUGAGGACUCCAGCCUCAACGGGAACUUAGCUGUUUGCACAGCUUAGGGAAAUCUUUCCAGAACCCCUUCUCAUUCUGCAGACCUGCGGGGGCAAGAACAGCAGCUGCUGGAGCCCUCCAUUGUGGAAGGCGCCAGGUUGCCUUCAAGUGGAAGAGUGGAGACCCUGACUCUGUCCUCACACGAGUGUCUUUGGCGAGUGCUUCUGGAAGACUCUUGCUGUCUGUGACGUGCAUAUGGCUGCCUGAGAGGACAGUCUCGAAUCCUGGUUUAGAGCUCCCCACACCUGCCUUUCUCCAGAAGAAAGGGGGUGCUCCCCUUCUUCCACCUGCUCUCUCGCCCCCUGCUUCUUGUCUUCUUUGAAUUUCUAAAUUGCUGCUUAUCAGGCCUUCAUAGACUGAAGAUGCCAAUGUUGUGUAUGCUGAAGGCUGCUGGCUGACUUCUGGACACAUAAUGACCAGAUCUGAGUUUUGCUUCACACACUUCACAGUGCAGAAGCAUUGCUGGUCUUUACACCCUUGCUGAUAUAGGCAGCCAUGGAAAUUAGAGCCUGCAGUGGAUUUCCCAGGCUCUCUGUUGACUUCCAGAAUGAUGUGUACUUUUUCUGCACCUAAAUUUCUCUUUUGGUAAUAGCUAUAGAUCUACCUCAUAUCCAUGGUGUGAGCAUCGAUAACACAAGUCAGUACAACGUCCUUGAGGACGUUUGGGACAAAGCUGCCCCAGUGCUCAGCUGUGAAGCUGCAACACAGACUGAAAGGAGACUGGAUCUGGCUGCAGUGACUCUGAGGAGAGGCUUGAGAUCUAGAGCUUCGCGAUGCAGACCGCGGUCUUUGAUAGAUUACAAAUCCUACAUGGACACCAAGCUGCUGGUGGCGAGGUUCCUGGAGCAGUCCUCUUGUACCAUGACCCCAGACAUCCAUGAACUUGUAGAAAACAUUAAAUCUGUUUUGAAAUCUGA